rnacentral:rRNA from 1 species
GCAUAUCAAUAAGCGGAGGAAAAGAAACCAACAGGGAUUGCCUCAGUAACGGCGAGUGAAGCGGCAACAGCUCAAAUUUGAAAUCUGGCCUCUUUGGGGUCCGAGUUGUAAUUUGUAGAGGAUGUUUCGGGCACCGCUCCGGUUUAAAUUUCUUGGAACAGAAUGUCAAAGAGGGUGAGAACCCCGUCUUGGACCGGCAGUAGGGCCCAUGUGAAACUCCUUCGACGAGUCGAGUUGUUUGGGAAUGCAGCUCAAAAUGGGUGGUAAAUUUCAUCUAAAGCUAAAUAUUGGCCAGAGACCGAUAGCGCACAAGUAGAGUGAUCGAAAGAUGAAAAGCACUUUGAAAAGAGAGUUAAACAGUACGUGAAAUUGUUGAAAGGGAAGCGCUUGCAACCAGACUUGCGCGCGGCGGUUCCCCCUUCCUUUUGGUUGGGUUAUUCCGCCGUGUCCAGGCCAACAUCGGUUCUGGGGGUCGGUUAAAGGCCUGGGGAAUGUAUCUACCCUUCGGGCGUAGACUUAUAGCCCCGGGUGUCAUGCGACCUCCCGGGACCGAGGAACGCGCUUCGGCUCGGAUGUUGGCGUAAUGGUUGUCAGCGACCCGUCUUGAAACACGGACCAAGGAGUCUAACAUCUAUGCGAGUGUUUGGGUGUCAAACCCGGAACGCGGAAUGAAAGUGAACGGAGGUAGGAAGCUUCGGCUGCACUAUCGACCGAUCCUGAUGUCUUCGGAUGGAUUUGAGUAAGAGCAUAGCUGUUGGGACCCGAAAGAUGGUGAACUAUGCCUGAAUAGGGUGAAGCCAGAGGAAACUCUGGUGGAGGCUCGCAGCGGUUCUGACGUGCAAAUCGAUCGUCAAAUUUGGGUAUAGGGGCGAAAGACUAAUCCAACCAUCUUGGUAGCUGGUUCCUGCGAGUU